AUGGCAGCUCUCCGCGCGCUCGUCGUCGGCAUUGCCAUCGUCGCCGCAGCCGCACAUUAUUGGGUCGCCGGUGGCACGGCGACCAAGGGCCCGGUGACGUACGUGUUCGGCGACUCGAUGUCGGACGUGGGGAACAACAACUACUUCCAGCUCUCCCUCGCCAGGUCCAACUACCCCUGGUACGGCAUCGACUACCCCAACGGCGUCGCCACCGGGAGGUUCACCAACGGCAGAACCAUUGGAGACUACAUGGCGGCCAAGUUUGGCAUCCCGCCCCCGCCGCCGUUCCUCUCCCUGUCGUUGGCCGACGAUGACUUCCUCGCCGGCGUCAACUUCGCGUCUGGUGGCGCCGGCAUUCUGAACGAGACAGGCGUCUACUUUGUCGAGUACUUCUCGUUCGACGAGCAGAUAUCGUGCUUCGAGACUGUCAAGAGGGCCAUGAUCGCCAAGAUCGGCAAGGAGGCCGCCGAGGAGACCGUCAACGCAGCGAUGUUCCAAAUUGGUCUCGGGAGCAACGACUACAUCAACAACUUCCUGCAGCCGUUCAUGGCGGACGGCACGACGUACACGCACGACCAGUUCAUCCGCCUUCUCGUCGCCACUCUAGACAGGCAGCUCAAGAGGCUGUACGGGCUCGGCGCGCGGAAGGUGGCGUUCAACGGGCUACCCCCGCUCGGCUGCAUCCCGUCGCAGCGCGUCAAGUCGGCCACCGGGGAGUGCAUAGCCCAGGUGAACAGCUACGCCGUGCAGUUCAACGCCGCCGCCAAGAAGCUGCUAGACGGCAUGAACGCCAAGCUGCCCGGCGCGCAGAUGGCGCUCGCCGACUGCUACUCCGUCGUCAAGGAGCUCAUCGACCACCCGCAGAGAAACGGGUUCACGACGUCCGACACGUCGUGCUGCGGCGUGGACACGAAGGUCGGGGGCCUCUGCCUGCCGGACUCGACGCCCUGCCGCGACCGCAAGGCGUACGUGUUCUGGGACGCGUACCACACCUCCGACGCCGCCAACCGGGUCAUCGCCGACCGCCUCUGGGCCGGCAUGACAACGGCGAGCGCUCCGACUCCGGCUCCUCGCGCCGGCGCGCCCGGGCCAGUCGCGGUGCCGGCGCCUUCUCCUUCUCGUGCUUAA
rnacentral:rRNA from 1 species